AUUGUGCGACAAGGACGUGCAAAAGUAGCAAAGAUGAUUGAAGCUCGCCGGGCUAAAAGAAAUAGACAAAAUAGUGACGAAACGCCAACCACUUCUAAAGAUGCUCAACAAAAUUACUUUGAUAGCAGGUUAAAAGAUAACCAAAGUGAUGAACAACCACCAAUAAUGGAUAUUUCUAAUAUACAACCUAUGG